AAACCAACAACGAAGGAACAAAAACUUUGAUCUGUUCAAAGCGAAUACAAGCCUGCCACCUGGAGGAAGGACUGCACCCCUUCAGCCUCAAUUAUGUUCAAUUCCACAAAUAGUUAUGUGCCGGGCAUUGUGCUUCCUUCAUCAGAACAUUUAUCAAGUUUGCAUGUUUAUUAGCCACCUCUGAAAUAUUAAAAAAUGACUGCCAUUGAUCUCUGAGUGGCCUGUGGACUUGGCUUACGGCCCAUCAAGGCCUGGGUAACACAGCAUUGGACCAUGCCAACACAGAAACUCAGAGGGGCCAGGUGGCUGCAGGCCAGAAGGAGCAGUGGGAAGGACUGUGGCCCAGAGGAGCUGAAUAGCAUCAGAGGAGUGACCUCUGUACCUGGUCAUGCAGCAGCCACCCAUGCAGGCCACUGGGAGAAACCCAUGGUGGGUGCCCAGUGGGCCUCAUGGACGCCCUGACACCAGAGGCGGAAGGGGGUGUAUUUUCUGGAUUCCCAUCUCUCUUUGUUUCAAUAAAGACAUCUGCAAC
rnacentral:lncRNA from 1 species